rnacentral:rRNA from 1 species
AGCGAACGCUGGCGGCAGGCUUAACACAUGCAAGUCGAGCGGGCAUAGCAUUAUGUCAGCGGCAGACGGGUGAGUAACGCGUGGGAACGUACCUUUUGGCUCGGAACAACUGAGGGAAACUUCAGCUAAUACCGGAUAAGCCCUUACGGGGAAAGAUUUAUCGCCGAAAGAUCGGCCCGCGUCUGAUUAGCUAGUUUGUGAGGUAAUGGCUCACCAAGGCGACGAUCAGUAGCUGGUCUGAGAGGAUGAUCAGCCACAUUGGGACUGAGACACGGCCCAAACUCCUACGGGAAGCAGCAGUGGGUAAUAUUGGACCAUGGGCGCUAUCCUGAUCCAUCCAUGCCGCGUGAGUGAUGAAGGCCCUAGGGUUGUAAAGCUCUUUUGUGCGGGAACAUAUUGACGUUACCGCAAGAAUAAGCCCCGGCUAACUUCGUG